GACGAACGCUGGCGGCGUGCUUAACACAUGCAAGUCGAACGGAAAGGCCCUGCUUGCAGGGUACUCGAGUGGCGAACGGGUGAGUAACACGUGGGUGAUCUGCCCUGCACUUCGGGAUAAGCCUGGGAAACUGGGUCUAAUACCGGAUAGGAGCCAUUUUUAGUGUGAUGGUUGGAAAGUUUUCUCGGUGUAGGAUGAGCUCGCGGCCUAUCAGCUUGUUGGUGGGGUAAUGGCCUACCAAGGCGGCGACGGGUAGCCGGCCUGAGAGGGUGGACGGCCACAUUGGGACUGAGAUACGGCCCAGACUCCUACGGGAGGCAGCAGUGGGGAAUAUUGCACAAUGGGCGCAAGCCUGAUGCAGCGACGCCGCGUGGGGGAUGACGGCCUUCGGGUUGUAAACUCCUUUCGCUAGGGACGAAGCUUUUUGUGACGGUACCUAGAUAAGAAGCACCGGCUAACUACGUG
rnacentral:rRNA from 1 species